rnacentral:lncRNA from 1 species
GGACAUUGCUCAAGGACCAUGCAUAUUUGAAUGCUUUAUACAGUAAAGAAGCAAACAUGGGAUUCAACACAUUUCCUUGAUAAAACAGCUUGACAAACAAGUUAAGGACUAUGAAGACUCAUACUGCUAAGUGUUCAAAGUUUAUGAAUGAAGAGACUGUUGGGCUGGGGUCCAGAAAGGCCAAAUGUCCUGCUCGUAACACAGCUACAUGGGGGACAGAACUACGUGACUCAUGGUCUCCAGCUUCCCAGAUUCCUGAGAGAACACUUAAGCAGUUUAAGCAAUGAUGACCAGAGAAGGUGGAUAGAGAUGGAGGACAUGCAUAUAGACUGGAUGCUCAGCUGAAGAGAAACUGGCCAGGAAUAGCUCCUGACCAUCUGGAAGG